AGAGUUUGAUCAUGGCUCAGAUUGAACGCUGGCGGCAGGCCUAACACAUGCAAGUCGAACGGUAACAGGAAGCAGCUUGCUGCUUCGCUGACGAGUGGCGGACGGGUGAGUAAUGUCUGGGAAACUGCCUGAUGGAGGGGGAUAACUACUGGAAACGGUAGCUAAUACCGCAUAAUGUCGCAAGACCAAAGAGGGGGACCUUCGGGCCUCUUGCCAUCGGAUGUGCCCAGAUGGGAUUAGCUUGUUGGUGGGGUAACGGCUCACCAAGGCGACGAUCCCUAGCUGGUCUGAGAGGAUGACCAGCCACACUGGAACUGAGACACGGUCCAGACUCCUACGGGAGGCAGCAGUGGGGAAUAUUGCACAAUGGGCGCAAGCCUGAUGCAGCCAUGCCGCGUGUAUGAAGAAGGCCUUCGGGUUGUAAAGUACUUUCAGCGGGGAGGAAGGGAGUAAAGUUAAUACCUUUGCUCAUUGACGUUACCCGCAGAAGAAGCACCGGCUAACUCCGUGCCAGCAGCCGCGGUAAUACGGAGGGUGCAAGCGUUAAUCGGAAUUACUGGGCGUAAAGCGCACGCAGGCGGUUUGUUAAGUCAGAUGUGAAAUCCCCGGGCUCAACCUGGGAACUGCAUCUGAUACUGGCAAGCUUGAGUCUCGUAGAGGGGGGUAGAAUUCCAGGUGUAGCGGUGAAAUGCGUAGAGAUCUGGAGGAAUACCGGUGGCGAAGGCGGCCCCCUGGACGAAGACUGACGCUCAGGUGCGAAAGCGUGGGGAGCAAACAGGAUUAGAUACCCUGGUAGUCCACGCCGUAAACGAUGUCGACUUGGAGGUUGUGCCCUUGAGGCGUGGCUUCCGGAGCUAACGCGUUAAGUCGACCGCCUGGGGAGUACGGCCGCAAGGUUAAAACUCAAAUGAAUUGACGGGGGCCCGCACAAGCGGUGGAGCAUGUGGUUUAAUUCGAUGCAACGCGAAGAACCUUACCUGGUCUUGACAUCCACAGAACUUUCCAGAGAUGGAUUGGUGCCUUCGGGAACUGUGAGACAGGUGCUGCAUGGCUGUCGUCAGCUCGUGUUGUGAAAUGUUGGGUUAAGUCCCGCAACGAGCGCAACCCUUAUCCUUUGUUGCCAGCGGUCCGGCCGGGAACUCAAAGGAGACUGCCAGUGAUAAACUGGAGGAAGGUGGGGAUGACGUCAAGUCAUCAUGGCCCUUACGACCAGGGCUACACACGUGCUACAAUGGCGCAUACAAAGAGAAGCGACCUCGCGAGAGCAAGCGGACCUCAUAAAGUGCGUCGUAGUCCGGAUUGGAGUCUGCAACUCGACUCCAUGAAGUCGGAAUCGCUAGUAAUCGUGGAUCAGAAUGCCACGGUGAAUACGUUCCCGGGCCUUGUACACACCGCCCGUCACACCAUGGGAGUGGGUUGCAAAAGAAGUAGGUAGCUUAACCUUCGGGAGGGCGCUUACCACUUUGUGAUUCAUGACUGGGGUGAAGUCGUAACAAGGUAACCGUAGGGGAACCUGCGGUUGGAUCACCU
rnacentral:rRNA from 3 species